CAGUAACAAAUUAAUAAUUACAACUUUCAACAA
rnacentral:rRNA from 1 species